CCAUUGACUUUUAAUUUAUGGAUAAAAAAACAUUGAGACAUUUCUCAAAAUUUCUUUUUUUUAGGUUCCACAGAUAAAAAGAAAGACAUACUGGUUUGGAGCAACAUGAGGAGAAGAGAUUAUUCAGAUGUAACAUUUGUUCAGAGUGAUGUGAUGGCGCCCAGCGAUCAAUGGUUUCGUCUCAGUCUUGACUGCAGAGUCUCUUGGCACCCAGUCAAACGGAGGAAAAUAACCUUUCCAUCAGAGCGAGGUCAGAUGCAGUCCUUCAUGAUGGAAAAGCACUUUGUCUGGUCAGCUGCUUCAUGACCCUGGACAGGAUGACUACAAUCUCGAACUGCUCGUUCAUGAGGGAGCGCUGAGACAAGUCGAAAAAGGGGCUAUUGGAAUUGAUCUCAUGACAUAUUGUGAGGGGUGAGACAAGAAAGAGCUGGUCAGCACCCGUUCCAAAUCCUACAUCCAAUUCCCGCUGAUCCAAUGGCAGAAACUCUCCCUCAGGGGUUUGACGAGACUAAAGCAAACACAGAGUGAGAUAAGCGAGAUUGGCAGUGAAGUCAGAGUGGUUGGCUGCCUGUGCCGAAGGCCACAGAUGGUGUACAGACUGAGAGCUCCAAUCACGGUGGUGUUCCCAGGAAAAGAGUGAGAGAUUUCACAAGUAUAGAUGCAGUGUCACUGUCACACACACAUACACACUCUUAUUUUCAGGGAAUUGUUAAACACAAGUGCAAAACCUUCAAAGAGGAACAAGAUGUAUGAUGUGAUCGGCUGGUGUGAUAAAGGUAGGGGAGAGAUAUCUGCGGAUAGUCCCUGACUGUUGCUGAAACUAAGGCCCUGUUUACACCUGGUAUUAAGAUGCGUUUUGGUUGAUCGUAUUACAAGUAGACAAGGGAGACGCAUACCGGUUUACACCUGGUGUUUUAAUCCCUCUCUUUUGUCCACUUUCAACCACUUCUGUCCUGAUUUCUUCGAGGUAAGGGUCUAUGGGUGGGUAAAUGUAUGAGUUUUUCAGAUCAAAUGGACAAAAUCAGCUUGUGCAAUUUACAUAUGAAUGUGCACGAAGAUGGCGGAAAAACACAGAGAGCAGCAGCUUUCGUUUCAGCUCUGAAAAGACCAAACCGAACGCUGUGAGUGCAUGUUAGAAAUCAGUAAUGGUGAGAGAACAUUAUGCUUGGUACGUUUUUCAUCUUCAAACCAAACUUGGGUCUUUAGUCAACAAAGUUUAAAUCCCAUCUGGCUAGUGCGCUUCCCAUAAUGUUUUUUUGUGGCUGUUCGAACACAUUCAACCACAUGAGCAUUUACACUGCAAAAGCAAUCUGGUUGAAUGUGUUUUCUGGAAAUAGUUGAAAGUAGACAAGCUCAAAACGUUUUAGACCCUGUUUGCACCAGUAUUUAGUUAAACAGGGCCUAAUUGUGGAUUGCACUUUCCACAUAUAUGUGCAAACCAAAAACAUACAUCAGAAUGUCAUCAUUGUAACUUUUCUCAGUCUUUUUCUUUUUUGCUUGCAAAUUCAAUUUUAAACAUCCAAAAAAAUCUCAUUGUGACAGAUAUUCUGUCCCAAAAAAGAUGAAAGAGUUUAUUCCUAAGGUUUUAACUUUAGAAGAAUAUCACACAAAUGCUCAUAGCCAAGACUAAAGCUACUGAAAUCAAAUACACUUGUCAAAUUUUGAAGAAACAGAAAAAGAGUUCAAACAGCGCAAAAAAAAAAAAAAAAAAAAAAAAAAAAAAAUCAAAAGCUACGACAAGACACUUUUAACAUGCCUUUUUUCAAAGCGAGGCUGCGAGGGGAAGUAAGACAGCUCCCUGGUGUUCAGGAGAAGCUGAGGUUUAGGGGUAAGGAGCUAGGAGACUAAUAUUCCCUUUGUUCCUCACAGCUCGUCCCCAGAAUGAAGUCCCUGGUGAUAUUUAAUCACUCCUGUCAAAUCCCUCUGCCUAAGUGAGAUGCUAUAGAGAGCCCUGCCAUUCUAACCAUGAAACUCUAGGGAUGCAGUUUGAUUUCAUCAUCGUCUUCACGUACAAAAGUUCACAGGAUUUUCCUUCAAAUAUCUGUAGAAAGAAACAUGUCAAAGCUCAUGGGGCAGAGCAUGCAGUUGCCAAUUUAGACAGAUGAGUGCAAGAGACUGUGUUGCAUGCACCUCAAAUGAACUUCUUUGACCUUAGGAAGAACUUUUUCAGUAGCAAAUUUCAAUGACUGUUUGAAAACAGUUUAAUUUCCAUAAUGUGCAUCAUUAUCUUUUUGAGUCGCUCUUAAGACAGCCUGUCUAGUUCAUCUUCUCUGACAUAAGCCAUAGUAAACAGUAAAAGAAAGCAAAAGAGACUGUAAAUUUUAGAGGCGAGACAGGGUGCUUACACUGCAGGCUGCUCUGAGAGCAAUAGAUGGGCUGCUGUUUUAUUUUUCUAACAUUCUGUACAGGACAGUAAUGGACAAAGGGCAGAACAGAAGGGAGGAAGGAGCUUAUGAAGUCAACCAUCCGUCAUCCUGUGCUCACUGCAUUGCGCCUGCUGUGGUGUGGAAAGAGCCAUGUGUCAAUCAUGCUCUUCUUCUUUCAGAACACAGCCUCCCACCCCUCCAGCCCCCCUCUCCGCUUCUGUUCCUUUCUGUUCUGAUCAGUCCCAUGCCUUCCAGUCUUUCUUAUUACAAUUCCAGGAGCUCAUAUUUUCUUUGCCCUGUCCCCAUAUGUUAAAUCCCUCAUAUAUCAUUCUCACUGAGGAAGCACUAGUGAAAUCUGUCAUAAGGAUAUCUGAUGAGAAAAAGAAUAUUUAAUCAGAAUUUUUGUUUGUUUUCCAGUAAAAGCAAAUUUGUGUUAAAAUAAGACUCAUGAUUUUGAACAAAAUUUUCUGUGUGUGUGUGUGCACAUUUUUGUGAUUUAUGAGGGCACACAUUUGUAUAAUG